rnacentral:rRNA from 1 species
UACGUAGGUGGCGAGCGUUGUCCGGAUUUACUGGGUGUAAAGGGCGCGUAGGCGGGAUCGCAAGUCAGGUGUGAAAUCUAUGGGCUUAACCCAUAAACUGCACUUGAAACUGCGAUUCUUGAGUGUCGGAGAGGUAGACGGAAUUCCUAGUGUAGCGGUGAAAUGCGUAGAUAUUAGGAGGAACACCAGUGGCGAAGGCGGUCUACUGGACGAUAACUGACGCUGAGGCGCGAAAGCGUGGGGAG